CCCCCUGACGCACUUGUUCAUAGCAUCCCAGCAUGCACCACUGUAUCAACAUCCCAUAAUGCUCUAGAAGACGUAUAACCUUUGCCCUUUGACCCACUUAACCCUUGUGGACUGACGUGCAACAAGUGCAUCUUGCAAAAUUUCUCCCAAUAUAUUGCUUUCAAACGUAUGCUCCCAUUGGUCAGUGUGGUGAGACUUGUGGGAAGAUUGACAAAACCUGCCUGUGGUUGUGCUUCACUGUUGGAAACUAGGACAGUAUCAUCUCAGAUUGAUUUGCAAAGAAAGAUGUCUUCCCAGAAGUUUGCCAACCCUCCAAAAAGGUUGGAGGGCAUUGACAAGAAUGUAUGGGUGGAAUUUGUUCAGUUAGUCCUGGACACCAAAGCUGUGAACCUUGGACAGGUGAGAAAAUGCAAUGUUGAAUUAAGUAUCGUUAUAGAAGCAUAUCAAGUGAUAAACAUGGCAUGAUCUUAGCUAAGGAAGAGUUU